rnacentral:rRNA from 1 species
UACAGAGGGUGCGAGCGUUGUCCGGAAUCACUGGGCGUAAAGGGCGCGUAGGCGGAUGUUCAAGUCAGAGGUGAAAGCCCUGGGCUCAACCCGGGAAUUGCCUUUGAAACUGGACGUCUUGAGUAUGGGAGAGGGUGGCGGAAUACCCAGUGUAGAGGUGAAAUUCGUAGAUAUUAGGAAGAACACCGGUGGCGAAGGCGGCCCACUGGAUCGGUACUGACGCUGAGGUGCGAAAGCGUGGGGAGCAAACAGG